GUCAUUAAAAGAAAAAUUGAUUGAGGUAUUUUAGUAAACAAAAGAACUCACUGCUUACCCAUCAGGAAGUGUAUUGUUAAGAUAGUGCUGUUCAGCCUCUUGGAAGAAAAUGUUUCUUCAUGCUUCUCUCUUUAGCCUAAUUCUUAUCCUGUCACAUUUCAGGAAAAAAAAAAAAAAGACAAGAUUGAAAAUGAUGGCCCUAUUUUAUUUGCUUCAAAAGAAACAGGCUGUUGCAUUGUGCUUGGAACAGUUUACUCUUGGCCUUGACGAUUGGACCAGAACAUUCUUGUGAACGUUGAUAGAAGAUGUUAAAAGAGGAGUUUUGUUGAUUGAAGACAAUAAGUAUAUACCUGAUUUCAAAUGAAUGACAGGCCACCAUACAGGAUUUAAAAAGAGGUGUGGGGAGGGUUUGGGGAGAGGUGGGGAAAAUCAGUUUUACAGUUCUGAGGU
rnacentral:lncRNA from 1 species